CGGCGAGUGAAGCGGGAUCAGCCCAGCACCGAAUCCCCCAGCAUCUCGCUGGCGGGAACUGUGGUGUAUGGGACGCCAACUGUCGUCUGCACUGGUGGCCGAAGUCCUCCUGAUCGGGGCCUCUCCCAGAGCGGGUGUCAGGCCUUUACUGGCCGCUGGUGCGUCGGCUGCGAGCGUCUCCGGAGUCGGGUUGUUUGGGAAUGCAGCCCAAAGCGGRUGGUAAACUCCAUCUAAGGCUAAAUACUGGCACGAGUCCGAUAGCGGACAAGUACCGUGAG
rnacentral:rRNA from 1 species